rnacentral:rRNA from 1 species
UACGUAGGGUGCAAGCGUUAAUCGGAAUUACUGGGCGUAAAGCGUGCGCAGGCGGUUGUGCAAGACAGAUGUGAAAUCCCCGGGCUUAACCUGGGAAUUGCAUUUGUGACUGCACGGCUAGAGUGUGUCAGAGGGGGGUAGAAUUCCACGUGUAGCAGUGAAAUGCGUAGGAUAUGUGGAGGAAUACCGAGUGCGAAGGCAGCCCCCUGGGAUAACACUGACGCUCAUGCCACGAAAGCGUGGGGAGCAAACAGG